UCGGGAAUUUUGGGCAAUGGGCGAAAGCCUGACCCAGCAACGCCGCGUGAAGGAUGAAGUAUUUCGGUAUGUAAACUUCGAAAGAAUAGGAAGAAUAAAUGACGGUACUAUUUAUAAGGUCCGGCUAACUACGUGCCAGCAGCCGCGGUAAUACGUAGGGACCAAGCGUUGUUCGGAUUUACUGGGCGUAAAGGGCGCGUAGGCGGCGUGGUAAGUCAUCUGUGAAAUCUCCGAGCUUAACUCGGAACGGUCAGAUGAUACUGUCGCGCUAGAGUGCAGAAGGGGCAAUCGGAAUUCUUGGUGUAGCGGUGAAAUGCGUAGAUAUCAAGAGGAACACCUGAGGUGAAGACGGGUUGCUGGGCUGACACUGACGCUGAGGCGCGAAAGCCAGGGGAGCAAACGGGAUUAGAUACCCAGGUAGUCCCUGAGCGGGCUGGCAAGGCGCAU
rnacentral:rRNA from 1 species